rnacentral:rRNA from 1 species
CUACGGGGGGCAGCAGUGAGGAAUUUUGCGCAAUGGGGGGAACCCUGACGCAGCAACGCCGUGUGAGUGAAGAAGGCCUUUGGGUCGUAAGGCUCUGUCAACUGGGAAGAAGUUACUGUGCUUUAAUAGAGUGCAGUAUUGACGGUACCAGUGGAGGAAGCGUCGGCUAACUCCGUGCCAGCAGCCGCGGUAACACGGGGGACGCAAGCGUUAUUCGGAAUUAUUGGGCGUAAAGGGCGCGUAGGCGGUCUUGUCGGUCAGGUGUGAAAGCCCGGGGCUCAACCCCGGACGUGCACUUGAAACAGCAAGACUUGAGUACGGGAGAGGAAAGCGGAAUUCCUGGUGUAGAGGUGAAAUUCGUAGAUAUCAGGAGGAACACCGAUGGCGAAGGCAGCUUUCUGGACCGAAACUGACGCUGAGGCGCGAAGGCGUGGGUAGCGAACGGGAUUAGAUACCCGUGUAGUC